rnacentral:rRNA from 1 species
AUCGAAUCUUUGAACGCACCUUGCACCCUUUGGAAUUCCGAGGGUAUGCUCGUUUGAGUGUCAUUGUACUCUCACACUCCUCUGAUCCUUUGGAUUCGGGGAGCGGUGGACUUGGGUGUUUGCUGCUUUCCUUGUGGCUCACCUCAAAUGCGUCAGUGCACCUCUUGGUUGGACAUAGUACGGCGUGAUAAGUGUCUUCGCCGGCACCUCGGAAGAGGGUGGCCGAUCGAGAGCUCUGUGCUUUCAAACCGUCUUCAGACACUUUCUGACAACUUGACCUCAAAUCGAGUAGGACUACCCGCUGAACUUAAGCAUAUCAAUAAGCGGAGG